AGUGAAGCGGGAUGAGCUCAAAUUUAAAAUCUGGCUGGUUUACUAGUCCGAAUUGUAGUUUAAAGAAGCGUUUUCGGUGGCAGCCUGGGUAUAAAUCCUUUGGAACAGGGUAUCAUAGAGGGUGAGAAUCCCGUCUUUGACUCAGUGCAUGCUACUAUGUGAUACGUUUUCAAAGAGUCGAGUUGUUUGGGAAUGCAGCUCAAAAUGGGUGGUAAAUUUCAUCUAAAGCUAAAUAUUGGCGAGAGACCGAUAGCGAACAAGUACCGUGAGGGAAAGAUGAAAAGAACUUUGAAAAGAGAGUUAAACAGUGCGUGAAAUUGUUGAAAGGGAAACGCUUGACACCAGUCAUGCGAGCGGAAAAUCAGUCUUUUGCAGUGGGGAGUGUGUGUGGGUUCGGACCGCAAGGCCGGCCUGCGCUUCAUCUCUGCUGUAAGUGAUGCACUUUUUCGUUUGCAGGCCAACAUCAGUUUCUUCUGCUGGACAAAACUCUUGAGAAGGUAGCAGCUUAGGCUGUGUUAUAGCUCUUGAGCGAUACAGUGGAGGAGACUGAGGUUUUCGCA
rnacentral:rRNA from 1 species